rnacentral:rRNA from 1 species
AGAGUUUGACCGGGCUCAGGAUGAACGCUAGCGGCAGGCUUAACACAUGCAAGUCGAGGGGCAGCAGGCGGUAGCAAUACCGUGCUGGCGACCGGCGCACGGGUGCGUAACGCGUAUGCAACCUACCCACUACAGGGGGAUAACGGAGGGAAACUUCCACUAAUAUCCCAUGGAGUUGUUUUUUCGCAUGGAGAGACAACUAAAGCUACGGUGGUAGUGGAUGGGCAUGCGUGACAUUAGGUAGUUGGCGGGGCAACGGCCCACCAAGCCGACGAUGUCUAGGGGAGCUGAGAGGCUUAUCCCCCACACUGGUACUGAGACACGGACCAGACUCCUACGGGAGGUAGCAGUGAGGAAUAUUGGUCAAUGGACGGAAGUCUGAACCAGCCAUUUUUUUUUUUUCGCCCCCCCCCCCUAUGGGUUGUAAACUCCUUUUGUUCCGGAGUAAUAAGGUCUUUGCGAAGACCGAUGAGAGUACGGGACGAAUAAGCAUCGGCUAACUCCGUGCCAGCAGCCGCGGUAAUACGGAGGAUGCAAGCGUUAUCCGGAUUUAUUGGGUUUAAAGGGUGCGCAGGCGGAUAGUUAAGUCAGCGGUGAAAUCUCACGGCUCAACCGUGGAACUGCCGUUGAUACUGGCUGUCUGGAGUACGGACGGCGCCGGCGGAAUGUGUCAUGUAGCGGUGAAAUGCUUAGAUAUGCCACAGAACACCGAUCGCGAAGGCAGCUGGCGAGGCCGGUACUGACGCUCAGGCACGAAAGCGUGGGGAUCAAACAGGAUUAGAUACCCUGGUAGUCCACGCAGUAAACGAUGGGGACUUGUUGUCGGCGAUAGAAUGUCGGUGACAAAGCGAAAGCGAUAAGUCCCCCACCUGGGGAGUACGAUCGCAAGGUUGAAACUCAAAGGAAUUGACGGGGGCCCGCACAAGCGGAGGAGCAUGUGGUUUAAUUCGAUGAUACGCGAGGAACCUUACCUGGACUCAAAUGCAGUCUGACCGGCGCAGAAAUGCGCCUUCCCUUCGGGGCGGAUUGCAAGGUGCUGCAUGGUUGUCGUCAGCUCGUGCCGUGAGGUGUCAGGUUAAGUCCUAUAACGAGCGCAACCCCUACGUCCAGUUGCCAGCGGGUGAAGCCGGGGACUCUGGAGGAACUGCCUACGCAAGUAGAGAGGAAGGUGGGGAUGACGUCAAAUCAGCACGGCCCUUACGUCCAGGGCGACACACGUGCUACAAUGGCCGGUACAGAGGGCAGCCACCCCGCGAGGGGGAGCGAAUCUCGAAAGCCGGUCUCAGUUCGGAUCGGAGUCUGCAACUCGACUCCGUGAAGUUGGAUUCGCUAGUAAUCGCGCAUCAGCCAUGGCGCGGUGAAUACGUUCCCGGGCCUUGUACACACCGCCCGUCAAGCCAUGAAAGUCCGGGGUACCUGAAGUCCGUGACCGCAAGGAGCGGCCUAGGGUAAAACGGGUGUUUACCUAAGUCGUAACAAGGUAACC